rnacentral:lncRNA from 1 species
GGUAGUGGAAGAUGGGAGUGGGAGGGUAUAUUCGAACUUGGAUUGCGCUUUGUGGUGGCCUUGUGGAAGUGCUCAACAACGUGAGGGCCUGAGGGGUGGGAGGAUUGGAAGAGUCUUGCCCUCACGGUGCUUCCAUUGUCACCCACCAUGGAUCCACACCUGCGUGGCUACACCCCUUAUCCGCAUCAAUUGCCAUAGCCCCUUGCAUUGCGAUAGAUACUGAGGUUGAGGCAGCAAACAUAGCAUAUGGUGGCGGGGGCGUGGG